AGUAACACGUGGUAACCUGCCUUAUAGUGGGGGAUAGCCUUUCGAAAGGAAGAUUAAUACCGCAUAAGAUUGUAGUAUCGCAUGAUAUAGCAAUUAAAGGAGCAAUUCGCUAUAAGAUGGACCCGCGUCGCAUUAGCUAGUUGGAGGGGUAACGGCCCACCAAGGCGAUGAUCAGUAGCCGGUCUGAGAGGAUGAACGGCCACAUUGGGACUGAGACACGGCCCAGACUCCUACGGGAGGCAGCAUG
rnacentral:rRNA from 1 species